CCUACGGGCGGCAGCAGUGGGGAAUAUUGGACAAUGGGCGAAAGCCUGAUCCAGCCAUGCCGCGUGUGUGAAGAAGGCCUUCGGGUUGUAAAGCACUUUCAGUGGGGAAGAAAGCCUUGGGGCUAAUACCCUCGAGGAAGGACAUCACCCACAGAAGAAGCACCGGCUAACUCCGUGCCAGCAGCCGCGGUAAUACGGAGGGUGCGAGCGUUAAUCGGAAUUACUGGGCGUAAAGCGCGCGUAGGCGGUCUGAUAAGCCGGUUGUGAAAGCCCCGGGCUCAACCUGGGAACGGCAUCCGGAACCGUCAGGCUAGAGUGCAGGAGAGGAAGGUAGAAUUCCCGGUGUAGCGGUGAAAUGCGUAGAGAUCGGGAGGAAUACCAGUGGCGAAGGCGGCCUUCUGGACUGACACUGACGCUGAGGUGCGAAAGCGUGGGUAGCAAACAGGAUUAGAUACCCUUGUAGU
rnacentral:rRNA from 1 species